rnacentral:rRNA from 1 species
UGCCUAUGGCUAGGAAUCUGCCUGAUAGUGGGGGACAACGUUUCGAAAGGAACGCUAAUACCGCAUACGUCCUACGGGAGAAAGCAGGGGACCUUCGGGCCUUGCGCUAUCAGAUGAGCCUAGGUCGGAUUAGCUAGUUGGUGGGGUAAUGGCUCACCAAGGCGACGAUCCGUAACUGGUCUGAGAGGAUGAUCAGUCACACUGGAACUGAGACACGGUCCAGACUCCUACGGGAGGCAGCAGUGGGGAAUAUUGGACAAUGGGCGAAAGCCUGAUCCAGCCAUGCCGCGUGUGUGAAGAAGGUCUUCGGAUUGUAAAGCACUUUAAGUUGGGAGGAAGGGCAGUAAGCGAAUACCUUGCUGUUUUGACGUUACCGACAGAAUAAGCACCGGCUAACUCUGUGCCAGCAGCCGC